UACAGUGCAGACGCUCUGCUGCUUGCGCUCCGCUUUGGUUACAUUCUUUUGUGGAUAUACUUGUUUUUUCCUGCUAAAAGCUACAGAAAGUACAUCCUUGAUACUUAUAAAGCACUGGGACUUUAACUUGUGAAAGAUACAGAGGACUACUGCCUUAUUUUCACCACUUUAUUACUGUGUGAGCAGGGCUGAGGCACAGUGCAAGCCUUUUGCUGUGUCUGUGACUGGAAACCUGUGAUUAGGACAAGGACAAGAUGGCAAAAUCUGUGAGCUGCACAGAGUGUGAGCGACUAACGAGAUGAUAAGGGAGCUUCAAAAGAAGAAUGAAACGCUACAACAAAUUUGUGAGAGUGAGCAAUUCAUUGACUCUGCGGCAGCUAACAUACAAGGUGCUGAUGGACAGACUUUUAUAUGUGGAAAUGCAUCAAAUAUGGAGCAUUCCAUCGCUGACUUGGCUGACACAAUCCCAUUGAUAUGUCCUAUGUCCUGUGACCACUGGAUCAGCUGCAGAGGCUCCCAAACUGGCCUUCCCUAACGACCCUUCCUACUGGCACAGGACUGGUGCUCGACCAAAAGCAUCAACUCCAGCCAGGACUUGGGCUGAUGUCAUUAGACGCAAAGGCAAAUCCAGCAGGAAAUCAGUCAAGAGAGCCCCAACGCUCACCCCUCCACUUGAACUUUCUCUACAGAACAGGUCAUUGCACUCGCCGCUCGCUGCAGAACACAGAUGCCGGUUCUACCAAGCUGGCCACCAGAACACACAGAUGCUAAGCUAACUGAAGGCCGACGCUGGUGGUGGUUUCCCUGGGUGGUGGUGAUCCCCUGUGUGCUGUGUGACCUCUGUUCCAGAUUUGCUUUGUGUGCACUUCACGUUUUUGCUGUGUGUUUGGGGUGCUCUCCCUUUUCUUUUUGGACUUCACUCCCCCUUGUCACCCCCUCCUCCAGCCGGUGACAAAGGUUAUCCCCUCAAUACCUUAUAACCCUGCUGGCAAACCCUGCCACCACAGAGCAGGAGCGCAGGUUCAACAGUGUGCACACACACACACGGGUCACGGUGGAGCGCAGCUUCGGGUUGCCCAAGCGCAGGCGGCUCUGUCUUGGACCAGCGGGGGGAACGCUGCUGUAUACCCCAGAAAAGGACCUCUGCCGUGAUGAUUGGCCCAGCAUGGGAGUUGGAGGGCACGCGCUCACCCUAGGUUGCCUGCCUCGGUUGGUCUGGCUCGGUGGGACUGCCCUGGGGAGAAGACCUGGACACCAUGCCGCUGGUGCCUUGCUCUGAAACAUUUAAACGAAACAAUAAAAAUGUGUACCUGUGUAACCUGUGUAAGCCUAUUUAUUUGGACAAUAGUGUACUGUCAGGGUUAAAUUAACUGUCUGAUUUUAGUCCCCGUCAGGGUCAGGCUGCGAUCUGGUUGGCCUCCUCCAGUCUGCGUGUUGCUGCGCCUAAGGGCUUUUUGUUGCCAGCUUUAAGUCUGACCACUUUUUCUUGACCUAAACGUAAAGAAUUGUGACUUGAUAAACUACCGGGCAUAGGCUAUUAGGCUAUGGAUGAAUCAAAGAAUAAUUUUUUUUUAUUAUCAUCAUCAUUAGGCAUAGGCUACUUAUUGAGAAUUUUAUUCAAACCUCAGCUAGAGUCCGUUUGUCAACGGCGAUGCUGUUGAGUGCCUCCAUGAUCUUCUUCCAGACAGCAUUUUUAUGGGCUCCUUUAAUGCCAGUUUUUAAACUUCCAAAAUGCACGUCUCUAUUUACCUCCACCUCAGACGUGAGGGUGUCGAUUUCCAGCUUGGAAAAGUUUCUCUUCUUUGCAAUGUUUCUCCUCUCCAUGUUGUGACCUCAAAGAGUGAGGCCUCUGAACCACCAAUAUUUAAUGGCGUGACAUGCUAAUGAUGAUCGAUUUCAGCUGCUGCAUUUAUCAAGGCCUGAUCAUUCGUACGCUGGGACUGGUCAACUUUCCUAAACCUAAUCUCUGUAACUUUACAUUAUUUAUGUAAUUUUAUGUCAAGGAUGUAAUGUCAUUUGUGGGCUGCUAAUUUGUAGGAUAUCAUACGAACACUUGUAUGAGGAUAUGUUGCCACACAUUAACAACAGCACUGUCAAAUAUAA